GUCCUCGGACCGCGUCUGCCGGCCGCUGGCGCCCAGUGUCUUGCGCGGGUUCUUAUCUUCUGUUUUUUCACUUCUGCAGAAACUGGGCCGUCAGCGCCGCGGCGCUGGGGGCGGCCGCCGUCAGGGCCUGCGCUUGUGGCCCUGCGAGGCUGCUGUUGGGGCAGCUCUUGAGCGUAAUCAAAAUGAGCCGGUGCUAACGGCAGUCAGUGCACGUUUCUGCUGGCACCUCCACCAUCGCUGGCCCAGAGCGUCCCUCUCGCUGCUUCUCCAUUAAGAUCUCAGAAGCCCGGUCAGUGAUUGAUAACAAGGUUGCGCGAAGUACUCCACGAGCUACCCCCGCCCCCCGCGUUACCUAUAGACAGAUACUCUGCUGAUCUCCUCCCCAUACAGAAUCUUUUAUUUCCAAAGUGAAGUAGUCACAAGUUGGGACUUGCACGGUACCUCUUUCACCUAUCCAUUACAACUUGGGUUUUCCAAAAAGAACUGCAUGUUGGGGGUUUUUUUAACCAGAACCCUGCCUUCAGCGUUCACCAUACUCCCCAUCUCACUUUAUUACUGUGUAUUCCAGCCUUGGUCCUGGUGCACUAUUUCAGUCUCAGAAAAAGUUAAGUUCCUCCUCCCGUUAACCAUGAGGCUUGCAAGAUCAGCUUCAGACAGGCAAAUACGUUUAUCUGCAUAGCUUCCCUGCCAGACUGAAGAGGCGUCACCCACAUUUUACAUACGGGAAACAAAUGGCUCCAAUGCGAAUAGCUAAUUUUGACAAAAGUUACACGGGGUUCCUGACAUGGAUGCUUAAUACAUUUAUGACGGUAAAAGCAUGUGGAGUGCAGAUGUUUCCUUAGCAGUAUCGAGAAAUUAUAUUUCUACAUACUCCUGCCA